CUGCCUACGGGACGCAGCAGGGGGGAAUAUUGGGCAAUGGGCGCAAGCCUGACCCAGCAACGCCGCGUGAAGGAAGAAGGCUUUCGGGUUGUAAACUUCUUUUCUCAGGGACGAAGAAAGUGACGGUACCUGAGGAAUAAGCCACGGCUAACUACGUGCCAGCAGCCGCGGUAAUACGUAGGUGGCAAGCGUUAUCCGGAUUUACUGGGUGUAAAGGGCGUGUAGGCGGGAAAGCAAGUCAGAUGUGAAAACCAUGGGCUCAACCUGUAGCCUGCGUUUGAAACUGUGUUUCUUGAGUCAUGGAG
rnacentral:rRNA from 1 species